UACGGGGGGGGCAAGCGUUGUCCGGAAUUAUUGGGCGUAAAGAGCUCGUAGGCGGUCUGUCGCGUCGGAUGUGAAAAUCCAGGGCUCAACCCUGGACCUGCAUUCGAUACGGGCAGACUAGAGUUCGGCAGGGGAGACUGGAAUUCCUGGUGUAGCGGUGAAAUGCGCAGAUAUCAGGAGGAACACCGGUGGCGAAGGCGGGUCUCUGGGCCGAUACUGACGCUGAGGAGCGAAAGCGUGGGGAGCGAACAGG
rnacentral:rRNA from 1 species